CCGGGAUAACUCCGGGAAACCGGAGCUAAUACCGGAUAACACCAAAGACCGCAUGGUCUUUGGUUGAAAGGCGGCUUCGGCUGCCACUUGCGGAUGGGCCCGCGGCGCAUUAGCUAGUUGGUGAGGUAACGGCUCACCAAGGCGACGAUGCGUAGCCGGCCUGAGAGGGUGACCGGCCACACUGGGACUGAGACACGGCCCAGACUCCUACGGGAGGCAGCAGUAGGGAAUCUUCCGCAAUGGACGAAAGUCUGACGGAGCGACGCCGCGUGAGCGAAGAAGGCCUUUCGGGUCGUAAAGCUCUGUUGUGAGGGACGAAGGAGCGCCGUUUGAAUAAGGCGGCGCGGUGACGGUACCUCACGAGAAAGCCCCGGCUAACUACGUGCCAGCAGCCGCGGUAAUACGUAGGGGGCGAGCGUUGUCCGGAAUUAUUGGGCGUAAAGCGCGCGCAGGCGGUCCUUUAAGUCUGAUGUGAAAGCCCACGGCUCAACCGUGGAGGGUCAUUGGAAACUGGGGGACUUGAGUGCAGGAGAGGAGAGCGGAAUUCCACGUGUAGCGGUGAAAUGCGUAGAGAUGUGGAGGAACACCAGUGGCGAAGGCGGCUCUCUGGCCUGUAACUGACGCUGAGGCGCGAAAGCGUGGGGNAGCAAACAGGAUUAGAUACCCUGGUAGUCCACGCCGUAAACGAUGAGUGCUAAGUGUUAGAGGGGUYCACACCCCUUUAGUGCUGUAGCUAACGGCGAUAAGCACUCCGCCUGGGGAGUACGGCCGCAAGGCUGAAACUCAAAAGGAAUUGACGGGGGCCCCGCACAAGCGGUGGAGCAUGUGGUUUUAAUUCGAAGCAACGCGAAGAACCUUACCAGGUCUUGACAUCCCCUGACAACCCAAGAGAUUGGGCGUUCCCCCUUCGGGGGGACAGGGUGACAGGUGGUGCAUGGUUGUCGUCAGCUCGUGUCGUGAGAUGUUGGGUUAAGUCCCGCAACGAGCGCAACCCUUGCCUCUAGUUGCCAGCAUUCAGUUGGGCACUCUAGAGGGACUGCCGGCUAAAAGUCGGAGGAAGGUGGGGAUGACGUCAAAUCAUCAUGCCCCUUAUGACCUGGGCUACACACGUGCUACAAUGGGCGGUACAAAGGGCUGCGAACCCGCGAGGGGGAGCGAAUCCCAAAAAGCCGCUCUCAGUUCGGAUUGCAGGCUGCAACUCGCCUGCAUGAAGCCGGAAUCGCUAGUAAUCGCGGAUCAGCAUGCCGCGGUGAAUACGUUCCCGGGCCUUGUACACACC
rnacentral:rRNA from 1 species